rnacentral:lncRNA from 1 species
ACGAACUCGCAGACGACCUCUGUAGCUAUCGGACAAGGAAUACGAAACAAAUGACAAAAAAAGUCAAAACUGACUCACAAAGAAAACGAAGUUAGCUUAGCAUCACCACCAACUCCACCAACAACACUGAAUACACAACUUCUUUAUUUAUUUCCAACUACACCAUCACCAAUAUAUUCAGCAUCAUCACAAGCUUCUUCUUUGUUUUUAUCUCAGAUCCACCUAGUCCAACACUGCCACUAAUUGAAACUUCAUCCGAAUGUUUUGGAUCAUCUGCAUCAGUUCAAACUUGCUUUAAAGCUCGACAAAAAACUCCAAGUUUGAAGGAUAAUGAAACUGAGAAAUCCGAUUUACCAAUUUCAAAUACAGCUAUGCGUUCGUGGUUUCAAGAAAUAUUCACCACUCUCAUUCGGAUUGAGGACACCCAAAAAACCCUCAUGGGCAUGGUGAUUGGUCUAAGCAACACCAAAUCUGCUGUUAAUGCGCUUUAAAUUUUAGCACAACAGCAGACGAGCUGGAUAGUCACCUGACUUAUUGGCUGAAUUAAAUGAUUGUGAACGUCAGUCCCUGAUUACAUCUUUGUCCAAUAUCACACUUGCAUCACAAAAUCUCUCCGGCAAGCUUUCUAAUAUGUUGUUGGCCCUGGCACCCAGUUCAGUUUGGUCUUUAUAUAGCCGGGAUGGGAAAAGAGGGAGAAGGAGUAUUAGCCCAAGUAUUCUUCCUAUCAUAAUAGAUUCUCUGCAGCUUAGAUCGCAAAAACGCAUUAACGACCAUAAGGUGGCAGAGGCGCUCGGAGAUCAAUUAAAACGAAUACCAAUGCAUGCAAAACGCGCAACAGUCAAGGCGGAAGCCAGACUAAUAGGCACACCUAGUCGGGUACCAAAGAAGGCUAAUAUUGCACCUGAAUCUAUUGGGAAUGAUAAUUC